rnacentral:misc_RNA from 1 species
AAGUCGUAACAAGGUUUCCGUAGGUGAACCUGCGGAAGGAUCAUUAUUGAAUAAACCUGGUGGGUUGUCGCUGGCUCCUUGGAGCAUGUGCACGCCCGCCAUCUUUAUCCAUCCACCUGUGCACCCUUUGUAGUCUUGGGAUAGAGGAGGGACUGUGCUCUGUCGGGUAAUAAGCCCGGAUGUGAGGACUGCUGUGCUACACCGUACAGCUUUACUUCUGUGUGCGCCUUCUUCUGCCCAGGUCUAUGUAGUUUCAUACACCACUAUAGCAUGUCAUAGAAUGUAUUCAAUGGGCCUACGCGCCUAUAUAAAACUAUAUACAACUUUCAGCAACGGAUCUCUUGGCUCUC